UUUGCCUUGGGAAAAGCAGCACCUCAGAAGUCUUCCUCAGGUUUAGUGGAAGCCAUGUGAUCUGCCUUGACAGCGAAAAAAUAAAUAAAAUAAACCUGACCAUCCAUGUUGCUGAAGCCUUAAUCAUCUUCUCUCCUCAGGCAACAGCAACAGAAUCAUCGGAUGUAUCAUCAAGCCCACGAAUGGCUCCUGAGAGGAACGUGCCAAGCGAGAGAGCAGAAUUCCAAACUGCAGCUUGCGGAGCGAACGGGCUGAGGAAGCAUAUGGAUCUCAGUCAUGAUUCCGGAGCCAGCAUCCUUCAGUGAGGAGGACAACUGCCCUGUUGAUUGGCCACUCGAGAAGAUAGGCCACCUCCCCACUGAGCAGGAACCUGGAAUCGGAUGAAUUGUUCAUAAUCAUCCGUCUGCUUCUCCGGGGACACAAGCAUAGAAGAGCUUUGGUUGUUGGGUGGAAAGGGAAGAGGACCAAAAACACCGACGCACUUCUGUGGUGCGGAUUUCUUUGGACCAUCCUAGGAAACCAACCCAAGCAUGCAAGGACCUAGAACAGAGAAGAGUCCACAAUAUGGCAUGUUUACUGUCUUAUAUAUAAUGUUUACUGUUGAACUUUGUUAACUUCCCCGUUAAUUGUGUUAUCUUGGUUGCAUGGUAGAACGUUUAUAUAUUCCUUUUCCGAGAGUUGUUUGUUCCUGUUUUUAAAAUGUUUGCUGGAGAAUAAACCUGUUGAAGUUUUCUUA